AUUGAACGCUGGCGGCAGGCCUAACACAUGCAAGUCGAGCGGAUGAGGGGAGCUUGCUCUCUGAUUCAGCGGCGGACGGGUGAGUAAUGCCUAGGAAUCUGCCUGGUAGUGGGGGACAACGUUUCGAAAGGAGCGCUAAUACCGCAUACGUCCUACGGGAGAAAGCAGGGGACCUUCGGGCCUUGCGCUAUCAGAUGAGCCUAGGUCGGAUUAGCUAGUUGGUGGGGUAAAGGCUCACCAAGGCGACGAUCCGUAACUGGUCUGAGAGGAUGAUCAGUCACACUGGAACUGAGACACGGUCCAGACUCCUACGGGAGGCAGCAGUGGGGAAUAUUGGACAAUGGGCGAAAGCCUGAUCCAGCCAUGCCGCGUGUGUGAAGAAGGUCUUCGGAUUGUAAAGCACUUUAAGUUGGGAGGAAGGGCAGUAAGUUAAUACCUUGCUGUUUUGACGUUACCGACAGAAUAAGCACCGGCUAACUUCGUGCCAGCAGCCGCCGUAAUAC
rnacentral:rRNA from 1 species